rnacentral:rRNA from 1 species
CGUGGUUCAGACAUGCAAGUCGAGCGAUGAAGCCCCUUCGGGGGUGAAUUAGCGGCGAACGGGUGCGUAACACGUGAGCAACCUGCCCUGAAGUGGGGGAUAGCCCGGGGAAACCCGGAUUAAUACCGCAUGUGGCGUUUCUUCGCAUGAAGAAAUCGCUAAAGCUCGUAAAGGCGCUUCAGGAGGGGCUCGCGACCUAUCAGCUUGUUGGCGAGGUAACGGCUCACCAAGGCUAAGACGGGUAGCUGGUCUGAGAGGACGAUCAGCCACACUGGGACUGAGAUACGGCCCAGACACCUACGGGUGGCAGCAGUUUCGAAUCAUUGGCUAAUGCGCGAAAGCGUGACCAUGCAACGCCGCGUGGGGGAUGACGGUCUUCGGAUUGUAAACCCCUGUCACCGGGGAGUAAAAAGCGGGUUAGUAGCCCGCUCUGAAGUUACCCGGAGAGUAAGCAGUGGCUAACUCCGUGCCAGCAGCCGCGGUAAUACGGAGACUGCAAGCGUUACUCGGAUUUACUGGGCGUAAAGGGUCCGCAGGUGGCCGGGUGUGUCGGAUGUGAAAUCUCGGGGCUUAACUCCGAAACUGCGUUCGAAACUAUCCGGCUUGAGGCUCGGAGAGGGCAGUGGAAUUCCUGGUGUAGCGGUGAAAUGCGUAGAUAUCAGGAGGAACACCAACGGCGAAGGCAGCUGCCUGGACGAGUUCUGACGCUCAUGGACGAAAGCGUGGGUAGCGAAAGGGAUUAGAUACCCCUGUAGUCCACGCCCUAAACGUUGCACACUAGGUAUUGGACGAUUCGACCCGUUCAGUGCCCAAGCUAACGCGUUAAGUGUGCCGCCUGAGGACUACGGCCGCAAGGCUAAAACUCAAAGGAAUUGACGGGUCCCCGCACAAGCGGUGGAGCAUGUGGCUUAAUUCGAUGCAACGCGAAGAACCUUACCAGGUCUUGACAUGCGCCGGACCGGCUCAGAAAUGAGCCUUUCCUUCGGGACUGGCGCACAGGUGCUGCAUGGCUGUCGUCAGCUCGUGUCGUGAGAUGUUCGGUUAAGUCCGUCAACGAGCGCAACCCCUGUCCCUAGUUGCCAGCAUUUAGUUGGGGACUCUAGGGAGACAAACUCUCUCUGAGAGUGGGAAGGUGGGGAUGACGUCAAGUCAGUAUGGCCCUUACGACCUGGGCUGCACACGUGCUACAAUGCUUGGUACAGUGCGUUCCGAUACCGCGAGGUGGAGGUAAUCGUCAAAGCCAAGCCCAGUUCGGAUUGGAGUCUGCAACUCGACUCCAUGAAGGAGGAAUCGCUAGUAAUGACGCAUCAGCAACGGCGUCGUGAAUACGUUCCCGGGGAUUGUACACACCGCCCGUCACAUCAUGAAAGCCGGUCUGCCCCGAAGUGUGUGAGCUAACCGCAAGGAGGCAGCGCCCUAAGGGUGGGCUGGUGAUUGGGAUGAAGUCGAAACAAGGUA